UAGGACACUGAGUCAAAAUAAUAGUGAUUCAUUUUGUUUCCUGGGUUGGCUUCCUUUGCACUGCAGUAAUUCGUUACUUACUCGGGUAAGUCAUGCUGAACUGCUGGUG